GCUCCGGUAGUGUAGUUCGGUCAAUCACUUCGGCCUCUCGAGCCGACAACCCGAGUUCAAAUCUCGGCCGGAGCA
rnacentral:tRNA from 1 species